CGGGUGAAGUUCGGAGCAUACGUGAUAGCUACGCCUGUGAGCUAUCGGUUAAUUGAUGGGUGAAUGUUCGUGCCAGUGAUUGCUCGUUUGGUGUUGGUGAUUCAGUGGGAAUGAUUAGUUCAGGGUUUCGGCGGUUAGUGGUUAGUUAAUGUAGUGAUGGAAGUGUGGUUGAGCAGCGUGUUUGGUGGUUGAGCAGCGUGUUUGGUGGUUGAGCAGCGUGUUUGGUGGUUGAGCAGCGUGUUUGGUGGUUGAGCAGCGUGUUUGGUGGUUGAGCAGCGUGUUUGGUGGUUGACAAAAUUAUGGCUGUAAUGAUAGUUGUGCGGGAUUUUCUAAUUAUUCCAAAGGUUUUAGCGUUUAGUGAUUGAGGUUAUGGUAUGUAGCAGCGUUUAGUGGUUGAGGAGGUUAUGGGUAUGAUAGUUUAGUGGUUGAGGAGGUUAUGGGUAUGAUAGUUUAGUGGUUGAGGAGGUUAUGGGUAUGAUAGUUUAGUGGUUGAGGAGGUUAUGGGUAUGACAGUUUAGUGGUUGAGGAGGUUAUGGGUAUGACAGUUUAGUGGUUGAGGUGGUUAUGGGUAUGACAGUUUAGUGGUUGAGGAGGUUAUGGGUAUGACAGUUUAGUGGUUGAGGAGGUUAUGGGUAUGACAGUUUAGUGGUUGAGGAGGUUAUGGGUAUGACAGUUUAGUGGUUGAGGAGGUUAUGGGUAUGACAGUUUAGUGGUUGAGGUGGUUAUGGGUAUGACAGUUUAGUGGUUGAGGAGGUUAUGGGUAUGAUAGUUUAGUGGUUGAGGAGGUUAUGGGUAUGAUAGUUAAGUAUUAAGUCCGAUAUCUUCUAAUUAUUCCAAAGGUUUUAGCGUUUACUGAUAAUGGUUAUAGUAUGUAGCGGUUAUUACACUCGAUCCUCAGGCUUCUUGUAUAGACAUAAAGUAAAUUUUGAGAAUAUAGUUUAGAUUUUCAAGGAUUAGGUGCAGGUGUAAGAGUGGCGAGUAGGAACAGUAUUUCAAUUAACCUUCACCCUGAGGCAUGUGUUUUUGAUUCAGUCUACCCUUUAAUGCUGUUUUCUUUCUUUUCUCCUUAGCUCUUUUUGAAGGG